UACGUAGGGACCGAGCGUUGUCCGGAUUCAUUGGGCGUAAAGAGCUCGUAGGCGGCUGCUCAAGUCGAAUGUGAAAACUCGAGGCUCAACCUCGAGCCUGCAUUCGAUACUGGGCGGCUAGAGUCUGGUAGGGGGAUCUGGAAUUCCUGGUGUAGCGGUGGAAUGCGCAGAUAUCAGGAGGAACACCGGUGGCGAAGGCGGCAUCCUGGACCAACACUGACGCUGAGGAGCGAAAGCCAGGGGAGCAAACGGG
rnacentral:rRNA from 1 species